ACGUUGAAAAGUGAGCGGAUGAACUGAGGGUAGCGGAGAAAUUCCAAUCGAACCUGGAGAUAGCUGGUUCUCUCCGAAAUAGCUUUAGGGCUAGCCUCAAGUGAUGAUUAUUGGAGGUAGAGCACUGUUUGGACGAGGGGCCCCUCUCGGGUUACCGAAUUCAGACAAACUCCGAAUGCCAAUUAAUUUAACUUGGGAGUCAGAACAUGGGUGAUAAGGUCCGUGUUCGAAAGGGAAACAGCCCAGACCACCAGCUAAGGUCCCAAAAUAUAUGUUAAGUGGAAAAGGAUGUGGCGUUGCCCAGACAACUAGGAUGUUGGCUUAGAAGCAGCCAUCAUUUAAAGAGUGCGUAAUAGCUCACUAGUCGAGUGACACUGCGCCGAAAAUGUACCGGGGCUAAACAUAUUACCGAAGCUGUGGAUUGUCCUUUGGACAAUGGUAGGAGAGCGUUCUAAGGGCGUUGAAGCAUGAUCGUAAGGACAUGUGGAGCGCUUAGAAGUGAGAAUGCCGGUGUGAGUAGCGAAAGACGGGUGAGAAUCCCGUCCACCGAUUGACUAAGGUUUCCAGAGGAAGGCUCGUCCGCUCUGGGUUAGUCGGGUCCUAAGCUGAGGCCGACAGGCGUAGGCGAUGGAUAACAGGUUGAUAUUCCUGUACCACCUAUAAUCGUUUUAAUCGAUGGGGGGACGCAGUAGGAUAGGCGAAGCGUGCGAUUGGAUUGCACGUCUAAGCAGUAAGGCUGAGUAUUAGGCAAAUCCGGUACUCGUUAAGGCUGAGCUGUGAUGGGGAGAAGACAUUGUGUCUUCGAGUCGUUGAUUUCACACUGCCGAGAAAAGCCUCUAGAUAGAAAAUAGGUGCCCGUACCGCAAACCGACACAGGUAGUCAAGAUGAGAAUUCUAAGGUGAGCGAGCGAACUCUCGUUAAGGAACUCGGCAAAAUGACCCCGUAACUUCGGGAGAAGGGGUGCUCUUUAGGGUUAACGCCCAGAAGAGCCGCAGUGAAUAGGCCCAAGCGACUGUUUAUCAAAAACACAGGUCUCUGCUAAACCGUAAGGUGAUGUAUAGGGGCUGACGCCUGCCCGGUGCUGGAAGGUUAAGAGGAGUGGUUAGCUUCUGCGAAGCUACGAAUCGAAGCCCCAGUAAACGGCGGCCGUAACUAUAACGGUCCUAAGGUAGCGAAAUUCCUUGUCGGGUAAGUUCCGACCCGCACGAAAGGCGUAACGAUUUGGGCACUGUCUCAACGAGAGACUCGGUGAAAUCAUAGUACCUGUGAAGAUGCAGGUUACCCGCGACAGGACGGAAAGACCCCGUGGAGCUUUACUGUAGCCUGAUAUUGAAAUUCGGCACAGCUUGUACAGGAUAGGUAGGAGCCUUUGAAACGUGAGCGCUAGCUUACGUGGAGGCGCUGGUGGG
rnacentral:rRNA from 1 species